AUACAUGCAGUCGAGCGGACCGACGGGAGCUUGCUCCCUUAGGUCAGCGGCGGACGGGUGAGUAACACGUGGGUAACCUGCCUGUAAGACUGGGAUAACUCCGGGAAACCGGGGCUAAUACCGGAUGCUUGAUUGAACCGCAUGGUUCAAUCAUAAAAGGUGGCUUUUAGCUACCACUUGCAGAUGGACCCGCGGCGCAUUAGCUAGUUGGUGAGGUAACGGCUCACCAAGGCGACGAUGCGUAGCCGACCUGAGAGGGUGAUCGGCCACACUGGGACUGAGACACGGCCCAGACUCCUACGGGAGGCAGCAGUAGGGAAUCUUCCGCAAUGGACGAAAGUCUGACGGAGCAACGCCGCGUGAGUGAUGAAGGUUUUCGGAUCGUAAAACUCUGUUGUUAGGGAAGAACAAGUACCGUUCGAAUAGGGCGGUACCUUGACGGUACCUAACCAGAAAGCCACGGCUAACUACGUGCCAGCAGCCGCGGUAAUACGUAGGUGGCAAGCGUUGUCCGGAAUUAUUGGGCGUAAAGCGCGCGCAGGCGGUUUCUUAAGUCUGAUGUGAAAGCCCCCGGCUCAACCGGGGAGGGUCAUUGGAAACUGGGGAACUUGAGUGCAGAAGAGGAGAGUGGAAUUCCACGUGUAGCGGUGAAAUGCGUAGAGAUGUGGAGGAACACCAGUGGCGAAGGCGACUCUCUGGUCUGUAACUGACGCUGAGGCGCGAAAGCGUGGGGAGCGAACAGGAUUAGAUACCCUGGUAGUCCACGCCGUACACGAUGAGUGCUAAGUGUUAGAGGGUUUCCGCCCUUUAGUGCUGCAGCAAACGCAUUAAGCACUCCGCCUGGGGAGUACGGUCGCAAGACUGAAACUCAAAGGAAUUGACGGGGGCCCGCACAAGCGGUGGAGCAUGUGGUUUAAUUCGAAGCAACGCGAAGAACCUUACCAGGUCUUGACAUCCUCUGACAACCCUAGAGAUAGGGCUUCCCCUUCGGGGGCAGAGUGACAGGUGGUGCAUGGUUGUCGUCA
rnacentral:rRNA from 1 species